UCUCUUCCCCCUCUCUCUCUCUCUUCGACAUCUCCCUCCGACCCUCCCUCCUUCUUCUUCCUUAAUUUUUUUUAAAAAAAGCCACCGGAAAUCGAUUCCCCAGCCACCGGAAAUUGACGGGAGGUGCUGCUGCCCGUCGGAGAUGCUGCCGCCCGUCAGGAGCUGCUGCCGUCCGCCGCGAGCUGCUGUCUUGCCGUCCGCCGAGAGCUGCUGUCUCGCCGUCACCGCCUGCACCGGCGCCGCCGCUGUCUCGCCGGAAAGAGGAGACGUCGCGGGUCGUCGCCGUGGGAGGUCCAGCCUCCGGGGCGCUGUCCGCACCGGGGAAAGUCGAGCGCGGCUGUCCGCCGCUGCCCGUCGCCGGCUUCUUCUUCUUCGAAACAACCCCGAACGACCCCGAUUCAACCCGCAAGGAUUAAUGGUGGAAGAUGGAAGAGUUGGAGACUUUGAGAGUCCACCACCUAUUCGGCCGAGAGGGUGGAAGAAGGAAGAAGAAGGGAGUUGGGCUUGAUCCCACAUUUUGAUUUAAUUUGUUUUGGGCUCAAUAGUUGCAAGCCCAAGUUUGUAUAUUUAUUAUUUGGCUAGAUUCUUAAAUAGUUAGGGCCCAAGCCAUUUUUUUUGUAGAUAACCAUUUGGACUCUAAUUUAAUUUGAGAAGCCCAAAAAUAAAUAUACGUACUUUAUAUUCU